rnacentral:misc_RNA from 1 species
UUGUGGAGGAGGACGCCGAAGGUGGGGCUGAUGACUGGGGUGAAGUCGUAACAAGGUAGCCGUACCGGAAGGUGCGGCUGGAUCACCUCCUAACAGGGAGACUAAUUUGAUUGUGAUGUCUAAGUGAUUUUUCUUAGGCCAUGAUCCUGUCACCUUAGGUCGAUCGGUACCUCAAAUUAAAAAAGACAAAUAAAGAUUGAGUAAUCAGUUUUUAUAACCUAAUUAAUUUCAGUUCCUAAACUUGUCUAGGUCACACCCAACAAGGUUUUCUCCUGGGCCAUUAGCUCAGGUGGUUAGAGCGCACCCCUGAUAAGGGUGAGGUCCCUGGUUCAAGUCCAGGAUGGCCCAUUCGAUGUUUGGGGGUAUAGCUCAGUUGGUAGAGCGCCUGCUUUGCAAGCAGGAUGUCAGCGGUUCGAGUCCGCUUACCUCCACUGAUCAAUGUUCCUAACUACAAAAAUAAGGAGAUUAUUCUUGUUAGAUGUGAUUUAGAGUUGUUUUACAUGAAUGGAACCUAGCUUCCUAUCAUUCCAGAUUUAAUUAACAAGUAUUAAAUUUGGCUGAUAAGAUGCUGGGCUCUAAGGAGUAAAAACUUAUUCCUUGAAGUUCAGUAGAACCUUGACAACUGCAUAGGUAAGUCUGGAAAAGAAAAGAGCAUCUCAUGGAUGUAUUUUUUAUAAAUUAGGAUUCCUAAAUUUAUAAAAAAUGUUCAAUUCUUGAGCAAGAGCAAAGACUCUUUAAAUUAAUUAAGGUCAAAAACCUUAUGAAAUUUAUAGAGAUUAAUGGUCAAGCUACAA